GACGUAGGGUCCAAGCGUUGUCCGGAAUUACUGGGCGUAAAGGGCGCGUAGGCGGCCUGCUAAGUCGGACGUGAAAUCCCUCGGCUCAACCGGGGAACUGCGUCCGAUACUGGUGGGCUCGAAUCCGGGAGAGGGAUGUGGAAUUCCAGGUGUAGCGGUGAAAUGCGUAGAUAUCUGGAGGAACACCGGUGGCGAAGGCGGCAUCCUGGACCGGUAUUGACGCUGAUGCGCGAAAGCCAGGGGAGCAAACGGG
rnacentral:rRNA from 1 species